CUGACGAGUCCCAAAUAGGACGAAACGCGCGUN
rfam:Schistosoma rodhaini strain Burundi genome assembly, scaffold: SROB_scaffold0000241